ensembl:lncRNA
AGCGGCAGGUGCGCUUCUCAGCCCGCCAUGACAUCAUCCUGCUGCGGGAGGUGGUCGCCCGGAACCCCUUUGCCUCCAAAGAGCCGGUGAACAUUUACUCCAGGAAUAACUCACUUUCAAGAAAUACGUCACAUAACAAGCAGAGAUUGAAGGGGCGGAUCUGGGCCCGCGUGGGGGAGAUCAUCACUGCAGCGCUCCAGGAUGAGAACUUUGAGGUGGAUGCCAGGAGGUGUAGGGAGAGGACCAUGCUGCUGCUGGACUACUACAAGAAACAAGACUUCCCCAGUCUGCGCAGAUUUGGAACAGAGAGGUUGUACGCUCAAAAGGAAGAUCUGCUCCACGAGGUUUUGGAGCUGGAGGCGGAGAAGGGGAUGCUGGCCAGCGGCGAGAACUCAAAGUACCAGGAUGAUGAACUGAGAAAGCGAGCCAUGGAGGAACUAACGGUCCCAGAACAAGACAAACCCAACAUCACCAUCACGCACACACACACUGCAGAACCAGAAGACGCUGGUGAGGAAAUGGCAGAGGCGCCCACAGCCAAGAGGCCCUGCCAGUGCUGCUGCCAGACCUACUCUGAGAUUCUCAGCUUCCUGGAGAAACGCUCGGAGGCGGAGCAACGGCUACGAGAGGAGGAGCUUUCUCUGCGCAGGGAGGAGCUGGAGAUUCAAAGGAGUAAGAUCUCUCUAGAGAGGGAACGUCUGGCAGCCGAGAGGAAAGAAAGGGAACGGAGAUUUGAGCUGGAGAGCCAAGAGAGGCAGGUGAUCUUGGACCUUUUAAAAGAAAAGGUGCUGAAAGGCUGACAAAACCGCAUCACCUGCAUCUAAUGCCAGCUUCUACAAGAAGUUAACGCAUUAAAUACCAUGGAAAGAAACAUAGUUGAACUUAAACGGGGAAGGAAACCAAGGAAACAGUAAGUGAAAAGUCGAAUUGCUAUUGAAAUCAAUGGAGGGCAGGUAAGCUGUGGCUGUCCACAUUUAUGCAGGAAUAUUAUGCAGGAAUAUACUUGUGUGUGUCUGGUGCAGACACAGUUUGAAAGCUGCAAAAUGUGCAUAAACCAGCUGCACGUAGCUGAGCCAUUCCAAUGGACACUCUUGACUGUUAUUCCUUACGGCCCUGAUGCAUACACUGAUGUGCUGUGUGUUCGGUGUAGCGGUCCACCGAGCCAUUUACUGGCACCUUGUUUUCAGUCCUGUUGGCACCGUAUUCUGUUCUGGAGCCAGUAUGAAAUUAAUAGCUGAGAAAAAAGCUGUAUACGCUGUAUAAGUUCACGUCAACGUUAUUGUGCAACUCAAGCUCAAAAUGUACCAGGACGAUACAAUUGUUUAUUCAGCAACUUCUUUUUUAAUUUGUAGGUAUUUUGGUUAAAGUAGGAGUAUAACAAUAUUUAACUGUGAAUUCACUGUGUAUUGUCUGGUAGUAAUUUAUUUUACAAACAAUACAAGCCAGUGGUUGUCCACUUCUAUAUACAGAAAGGUGUUUUUUUAACCCCUGUCCUCAGCUUCAUUUGUCUUAAAGACAUAGUUAACAACCAUUGGUCUCAUAUAUGGAAUUCAUGGAAACAAUUAUUUUUAUUACAUGUUCCGCGGUUUCAUUCAAUGACAUUUGCUACCGGACUUCUGUAUAUUUUUUAUUAAGAAAUGCUAUUUUUCUUCAAGUCCACAUAAACCCGUGCUGUAUAAAAUUAAACUUUAAAAAAAUUAAAUACAAGAGUAUCAAAAAAUGUGUGUCCCAUUUCUAUCAAUAGAAUUCUACAUUCUUAAACGGAGACGAUAGUUCAAUGAUUCCGGGG